GUCUCAGUAGUGUAACGGUUAACAUUGUCGCUUCACAUUCAUAUCUCGUAAGAGGUAGUUUGUGAACCAGCACGUCUCAAAACGCGACCGCUCCCAGUUCGAUUCUGGGCUGAGACA